CAGUCGCCACGGUAAUACAGAGGGUGCAAGCGUUACUCGGAAUUACUGGGCGUAAAGCGUGCGUAGGUGGUGGUUUAAGUCCGUUGUGAAAGCCCUGGGCUCAACCUGGGAAUUGCAGUGGAUACUGGGUCACUAGAGUGUGGUAGAGGAUAGUGGAAUUUCCGGUGUAGCAGUGAAAUGCGUAGAGAUCGGAAGGAACAUCUGUGGCGAAGGCGACUAUCUGGGCCAACACUGACACUGAGGCACGAAAGCGUGGGGAGCAAACAGGAUUAGAUACCCGUGUAGUCCCUGUCUCUUAUAC
rnacentral:rRNA from 1 species